AAGAGCCAGGUCAUGUUCUCUGUGAACAACUUAGAGUUGGAGAUAAUUGAGUUCCAAGAGAACAUCCAGGAGCUCAAGAAGGAGAUAAACUUCUAUUCAAACCUACAUAGCCGGCUCAUGAUGGAGAAGAAUCUUACUAAGAUGUCUGUCACACUGAAGUGGGAGAGCAAGGAAGUACAAACUGAUUGGGCUCUCAUUGAGAAAUAUUUGGUUGACUUGAACCUGAAUGAUAAACAACAACCAGCAGACCAGCAACCAUGAGACCCAACAACUUCAGGACUCAGAAACUCCAGCAAGAGCUGAAAUUUCCACAUCCCAGGAAGAGAGCCUCCUGCAGAAUGAGUUUCCACCUCAGGAGCCCCCUGCUGAACUCCAUCCCCAACAUCCACAGUCUACCUUGGAUGAAUCUUAUUACACUCAGUACAUUUACGCGG
rnacentral:lncRNA from 1 species